rnacentral:rRNA from 1 species
GAUGAACGCUGGCGGCGUGCCUAAUACAUGCAAGUCGAGCGAACAGACGAGGAGCUUGCUCCUUUGACGUUAGCGGCGGACGGGUGAGUAACACGUGGGUAACCUACCUAUAAGACUGGGAUAACUUCGGGAAACCGGAGCUAAUACCGGAUAAUAUUUCGAACCGCAUGGUUCGAUAGUGAAAGAUGGCUUUGCUAUCACUUAUAGAUGGACCUGCGCCGUAUUAGCUAGUUGGUAAGGUAACGGCUUACCAAGGCAACGAUACGUAGCCGACCUGAGAGGGUGAUCGGCCACACUGGAACUGAGACACGGUCCAGACUCCUACGGGAGGCAGCAGUAGGGAAUCUUCCGCAAUGGGCGAAAGCCUGACGGAGCAACGCCGCGUGAGUGAUGAAGGUCUUCGGAUCGUAAAACUCUGUUAUUAGGGAAGAACAAACGUGUAAGUAACUGUGCACGUCUUGACGGUACCUAAUCAGAAAGCCACGGCUAACUACGUGCCAGCAGCCGCGGUAAUACGUAGGUGGCAAGCGUUAUCCGGAAUUAUUGGGCGUAAAGCGCGCGUAGGCGGUUUUUUAAGUCUGAUGUGAAAGCCCACGGCUCAACCGUGGAGGGUCAUUGGAAACUGGAAAACUUGAGUGCAGAAGAGGAAAGUGGAAUUCCAUGUGUAGCGGUGAAAUGCGCAGAGAUAUGGAGGAACACCAGUGGCGAAGGCGGCUUUCUGGUCUGUAACUGACGCUGAUGUGCGAAAGCGUGGGGAUCAAACAGG